ACCGCUUCUCGGCCUUUUGGCUAAGAUCAAGUGUAGUGACAAUAUAAAGACAAACAGCCCAACUUAGAAAAACCUUGAGGACUUUCAUGAACAUGUCUCCAAAUGCCUAAUAAUUGUGUCAAGCAUCUUUUAAAUAUGCUUAGUAAUUAAGGCAGUGCAAAUCUAAACUACAGUGCGGUAGAUCCUGUACCCACUGGA